UGUGUGUGUGUGUGUGUGUGUGUCAGUGGCGUAGCCAGAAUUUUAUUUUUGGGCGGGCCUGGACAAAAGCGAGCGGGCACUAGGCUAACU